rnacentral:rRNA from 1 species
GACGAACGCUGGCGGCGUGCUUAACACAUGCAAGUCGAACGGAAAGGCCCUGCUUUUGUGGGGUGCUCGAGUGGCGAACGGGUGAGUAACACGUGAGUAACCUGCCCUUGACUUUGGGAUAACUUCAGGAAACUGGGGCUAAUACCGGAUAGGAGCUCCUGCUGCAUGGUGGGGGUUGGAAAGUUUCGGCGGUUGGGGAUGGACUCGCGGCUUAUCAGCUUGUUGGUGGGGUAGUGGCUUACCAAGGCUUUGACGGGUAGCCGGCCUGGGAGGGUGACCGGCCACAUGGGGACUGAGGGACGGACCAGACGCCUACGGGAGGCAGCAGUGGGGAAUAUUGCACAAUGGGCGGACGCCUGAUGCAGCAACGCCGCGUGCGGGAUGACGGCCUUCGGGUUGUAAACCGCUUUCGCCUGUGACGAAGCGUGAGUGACGGUAAUGGGUAAAGAAGCACCGGCUAACUACGUG